rnacentral:lncRNA from 1 species
CGACUUCAGAGGAAUUUCUGCCCGAGUGAGCAUUGUGGAUGUUGGCUGAAAGAAAGGAAGACCUCGAAAUUCAGCGCGAAGCUAUGCCUAUUGUGCAAGGCUGGAAGUGAGGUCCACUGAAGGUGUUUGAAUUGUCACUGCAGAAAGGAAGCGUGCAGUCUGUGCCCACAAUAAAAUGGACCUCUCCUGCUGCUAUGGGAAA